UGGCCCAGUAAAUGCCAUGUUUCAAGCAGCAGAAAGCCCAAACACACUUAAAACUCAAUGAUUCAGGUUAAUCUAGAGAAAACUAGAGAUUCGAUAGAGGACUAAUAUGGAAAUCUCAGCUCAUAGAGACCCCUCCGGAAGUUCUUCACAUUACUAGAAGUGAGUGUCAAAGAACUGGCUAUUCAAGAGAGUGUUGGAGAUUCUGGCAAGCAGAGAUUCUUCGGAGCCCAGGUGGAAAGUGAAGCGCUGAGUUGGGGAGAAAUGCUCAUGCCUUCUGCAGACUGUAAGUUUUGGGAGCUUCUGGAGGCAACUCCCUUGGCAGGCGUGUUGGAGUUCUCCGGGCCAGCAGUGCCA
rnacentral:lncRNA from 1 species